UACGGAGGGUGCGAGCGUUGUCCGGAAUCAUUGGGCGUAAAGAGCUUGUAGGCGGUUUGUCGCGUCUGCUGUGAAAUUUCGGGGCUCAACCCCGAACUUGCAGUGGGUACGGGCAGACUAGAGUGUGGUAGGGGAGACUGGAAUUCCUGGUGUAGCGGUGAAAUGCGCAGAUAUCAGGAGGAACACCGAUGGCGAAGGCAGGUCUCUGGGACGGUACUGACGCUGAGACGCGAAAGCGUGGGGAGCGAACAGG
rnacentral:rRNA from 1 species